CCUGACGCAGCGACGCCGCGUGAGUGAGGAAGGCCUUCGGGUCGUAAAGCUCUGUCAACAGGAAAGAAGUGCAUAAUGGUUAAUACCUGUUAUGUUUGACGGUACCUCUAAAGGAAGCACCGGCUAACUCCGUGCCAGCAGCCGCGGUAAUACGGAUGGUGCAAGCGUUGUUCGGAAUCACUGGGCGUAAAGGGCGCGCAGGCGGGAUGGUAAGUCAAAUGUGAAAGCCCACGGCUUAACCGUGGAAGGGCAUUUGAAACUGCCAGACUUGAGUACCACAGGGGAAAGUGGAAUUCCCGGUGUAGAGGUGAAAUUCGUAGAUAUCGGGAGGAAUACCGGUGGCGAAGGCGACUUUCUGGCUGAGUACUGACACUGAGGCGCGAAAGCGUGGGGAGCAAACAGGAUUAGAUACCCUGGUAGUCCACGCCGUAAACGAUGUCAACUAUAUGCAGGGGGUGUUGAUCCCCUCUGUGUCGCAGCUAACGCAUUAAGUUGACCGCCUGGUGAGUACGGUCGCAAGAUCAAUACUCAAAGGAAUUGACGG
rnacentral:rRNA from 1 species